rnacentral:rRNA from 1 species
UACGGAGGGUGCAAGCGUUGCUCGGAAUUAUUGGGCGUAAAGGGUAGGUAGGUGGUCUCAUUUGUCUGGGGUGAAAGCCUUGAGCUUAACUCAAGAAGUGCCCCAGAAACGGUGAGACUAGAGUCCUGGAGAGGGUCGUGGAAUUCCCGGUGUAGCGGUGAAAUGCGUAGAUAUCAGGAGGAACACCUGUGGCGAAAGCGGCGCACUGGACCACAACUGACGCUGAGGCGCGAAAGCUAGGGGAGCAAACAGG